UCGUACCCACAGGCCACUACCUAAAGAAAACCACGAACUCCCUCCCUCCUCUCCCUAACGUUAAUCUCAUCUUUCUCUUCUAUCUAUCCAUCUGAUACCCAAUAGAAUGGAAAGAGGAACCCAUAGCAAGUUACCACUAGAAAGAAAUUCAUCACAAUCAUCAAAAUCUUAACCAACGAAGCCUCUUCCUAUCUUAUUACAGGCUCCGCCUCCUCUACCGCAACAAAUCCAUCGCCCAUUCGUCGUUGUCAUGGGGAUUAACAAUUGCCCGGCACACCCUCUCUAUUGAAAGCACAAUCCCCUCCCUUACCGUUCGUUCCCCGGUCUCCUCCCUCUCCCUCCUAACCCCCCCUCCUUUUCUUCCCCUUUCACCCUCCCGCCUACCCGAACUCUCUCCAAUGGAUCAUAUUGCAAGAAGAAGAAAAAGUGAAACCUCAUCUUAUACACCGGCGCCGACGCCGUCGCCGCCGUCGCCUUUAACCUCAUCGUAUCUUCCAUCAACGCUCACAGAGAAAAGCUCAAGAAGAAAAAAUGGCUCGCGGGGACAAAUGUGCGAAUCAAUCUCUCCGCAUCCGAGAUCAAGAGACUAGCUGAUGAUAAAUCAAAGGAGGUUUAUGAUUCUGUAGCCUCAGUUACCCUCGAGAAAGUUACAUAUAUGAAUGUUAUAGCGCCCCCGGCAGAGCUCGAAGCAUACCAUUUUCCCUUAUCGAGCUCCGACGCUGAAAUAAGAUUGGAUUCUUUCUUUUUGACGGAUUCCUUUACAUUUUGUUGUUAUUCAUUACACAGGCUUACUAUUGGUUGUUGUUUGCGUCGAAAAUUGUUGUAUUCAUUGCGGUAUUCAUUACA